GGAAAGAAGCGACCAGAAAUCGACAUGCAUAAAAAAAAUUAGAAAAGUAAAUGUUGAAUGGAAGUAUAAAGCUAAGUGUGCAUUUGUUUUUUCAGGGAAGGGGUAAAAAAACUAAUACUAAUAGACAUGCAUUCAUCUGUGCGAUCGAUACUGUUAAAGAAAAGAUAAAUAUCUGUAUGUAAAUUGCAAAGAAGCACAUUGUCCAUUUGUUAGUUUUGGUAAAAAAAAAAAACUUUGAACCAGAAAUUUGGGUAGAAAGCACAUUGUCCAUUGUUUCUUUGAGAGUAGAUGAAAAGAAUUUUUGGUUUACAAAAGAUAAAAAAAGUCGUUUUGCAAACCGGGGUCAAAUAAACGGGAAAGAAGCGACCAGAAAUCGACAUGCAUAAAAAAUUUGAAAAGUAAAUGUUGAAUGGAAGUAUAAAGCUAAACGUGCAAUGUUUUUUGCAGGGAAGGGGUAAAAAUACUAAUACUAAGAAACAUGCAUGCAUUCAUCUGUGCGAUGUUUUUUGCAGGGAAGGAGUAAAAAAAACUAAUACAAAGAAACAUGCAUUCAUCUGUGCGACAGAUGAUGUUAAAGAAAAGAUAAAUACCUGGUAUGUAGAUCGAAAAGAAGAGGCAGAAGACCGGAUAAUUCAAAUGUACAUGAUUUAAUUGAGACAACAAAGUACCUGGGUUUUUAAAAGUGGGUUUCUAGAAGUACAAGUUCAGAAAGCUGUGAAGGUGGCAGCAAGAGAAGGAACUUGGAAAUAGGAGAGGCCACGUGUUGUGAGGAGGAGUUGAUGUUGUUUUUUACAAUGUAAGUAGGUUCUAGAAGAUAAAAAAAGGAGCAGACGAAAAGCUAAAUUAAUUUUGAGCCCAAUAAAAUAAAAGCCCAAUCCAAGAAGUCAUUAAAACAAACUUAAAAAAACCCAAAUGUUAAAAAGUGAAUGGAGAAAAAACCAGGAUACCUGAUAGCGAUUUGUAGGCAUCAUUUUUGUCGAGAAAUCUGAAAUCUAUAUUAACAGGACAAAUUUAAUUUGAGGUGUUUUAGCUGCAAGAAAAUAACAAUAAUUAGUAAUUUCCU
rnacentral:lncRNA from 1 species